ensembl:lncRNA
GGUGCCCGCCUUGCUUCGCAGCCAUCGAAACCUCGGCGGAGCUGGCGCGCGCCGGGGACGGGCGAGGGGCGCCGCCAAGCAGCGAUGCCGACCACGGGCGCCAGGGCAGAAGCCGGGCCCCGGGUCUCAGCCCCGGGUCUUGGCCGGGAAGGGUCUGCGGAGGGCGUUCCGGGGGGCGGGGCCAGGGUGCAGCUAGCCCGCGCCCUGCAGGGGGCGAUCCAGGCACGGCGUAGACCCGUCCUCGCGGGUCCGGAAGGGGAAGAAGCGAGGCCAGGGGUCCGGCGGCCCGGCGAGCGGACGUGCGCGCGCGCCUGCGCGCCUGCGCGCUCUGCGGGCCGCGGUCCCGCGGCUAUUGGGUCACCAGCGUUACCCCGGCAGCUCCCCCACUUGACCAGGCACCCGGAUCUUCCUACGCCAGGCCCCGCGGAGGCUGCACUUUGCUGCCAGUGUCAGGAGAGGAAGGAGAGUUUCGAAAUCAGAGCCAGCCCCCUCCACCCGCACCGGAACCAGGGUGCAGGCCUUGCUGAGCUCUGGACUCCUCCUGACUCCCAAAUCAGGAUUCUCCCAGCUGAAAGCCUAUCUGUUCCAAUGUCACCCUGGUGCCACCUCUAGGACCACAUUUCAGCUCCUUCUGGGACCCCUCUGUGCCUGAAGGCCCAUGCAGUCCAUCAGCAGGUCCCAAGCCACAUGCAGCCACGUCCACCCUCCUCCCUUCUGGCCAGCUCUGCUCCCUAUCGUGGCUCUGAGUGACAGCAGGGCCCUCCUGGUGUACCAUCAUGGGCUCCAACCUCUCUCGUCCCCAAGUCCUGCCCCUUCCCGCUGGGCCACGUUCUUUCCAUCUGGCCUCUUUGCACUACCACCACCGUCAUUAUGCCAUCUCUUCCCUGGACAGAAUCACGGCCCCUUCCCCUGGCUCCCUGACUCGUCUCCUUCUGAACACCCUGCACGUGUAACCAGCAACUAGUUCUGCAGUCAGCCGUCCAGUCACCACCCAGCCCGUCCAGAACCUUCAAGGAUUCCCGAGAGCCUAUCCAGGUUCAGACUCCAUCUCCAUUCCCAUUUUUGUGCUGCAGUCACUAGGUGCCCCUGGACUCUGGGUUGGCUUUAGCCUGGCAUUCAGGGCCUCCCAGGCCUGCUUCCUUCCCACAAUACUGCUGCCAACCUGAGCCACUCCUGACCGCUGGACCCUUCCCUGCAUCAGAAAUGUCCUCCCCACCUCGUCCACCCCAGUGCUGGAGGCCCAGCUCAAAAGCCAUUUCCUUCGGGACUCCUUGGGGCCCUGAGUCCUUGCCAGC